UACGGGGGAGCAAGCGUUGUUCGGAUUUACUGGCGUAAAGGGCGCGUAGGCGGCCACCGCAAGUCGACUGUGAAAUCUCCGGGCUUACCCGGAAAGGUCAGCCGAUACUGCGGGCGUAGAGUGCAGAAGGGGCAACUGGGAUUCUCGGUGUAGCGGUGAAAUGCGUAGAUAUCGAGAGGAACACCUGCGGCGAAGGCGGGUUGCUGGGCUGACACUGACGCUGAGGCGCGAAAGCUAGGGGAGCGAACGGG
rnacentral:rRNA from 1 species